rnacentral:rRNA from 1 species
AUUGAACGCUGGCGGCAUGCUUUACACAUGCAAGUCGAACGGUAACAGGCCGCAAGGUGCUGACGAGUGGCGAACGGGUGAGUAAUGCAUCGGAACGUGCCCAGUCGUGGGGGAUAACUGCUCGAAAGAGCAGCUAAUACCGCAUACGAUCUAUGGAUGAAAGCGGGGGACCGUAAGGCCUCGCGCGAUUGGAGCGGCCGAUGUCAGAUUAGGUAGUUGGUGGGGUAAAGGCUCACCAAGCCAACGAUCUGUAGCUGGUCUGAGAGGACGAGCAGCCACACUGGGACUGAGACACGGCCCAGACUCCUACGGGAGGCAGCAGUGGGGAAUUUUGGACAAUGGGGGCAACCCUGAUUCAGCAAUGCCGCGUGCAGGAAGAAGGCCUUCGGGUUGUAAACUGCUUUUGUACGGAACGAAACGGUCUGGGUUAAUACCCUGGGCUAAUGACGGUACCGUAAGAAUAAGCACCGGCUAACUACGUGCCAGCCGCCGCAGUAACAC